rnacentral:lncRNA from 10 species
GCGGCUUGAGCCUGUGGUAUCUAGGCUCACCUCACUGCGGUUGGUGGAGGUGAUGGAGGUUGCAGCUUGGCCAGCAUGGUAGAAAGGUGGCAGGGCACGUCUGGCUUUUACCACCCAGUUGCUUCGAGCCAGGAGAUGGAGGAGUCAUCUGUUGCACGCUGGAGGCUGGAGCCUGCAGAUGGCAUGGUUCUGUGGCUCACCUCGCUGCAGUUGGUGGCAGAGACAGAGACUGCAGCUUGACCAGAGUGGUGGAGUGGUAGGAGAGUGUCUGCGGGGGCCUCCUGGAGGUGGUAGGAGGCUUGUAGGGUGGGCCGGUGCAUUGAGGGCAACAGCAGCGGUGCUCAUGUUGGUGUUGGCAUUAGUGGUGGCGGCAGCAGCAAGUCUGGGAUCCGAGAAGUGGGAGUGGGAAUGCUGUGGAGCCCACCGGGCCCAGCCUGGCCUGAAGUGGGGAGGCAGCUGCGGGUGCUGUACUGUGGGCCUAGGUGGCAGCAGUGGAGGCCCAGCCAUGGCAAGGAGGAGUCCUCCUCCUUCUCCUGCAGAAUCUGGAAGUGCCCUCCUCCUGCUGGUGCCUGGGCCAGGUGUGAGUGGCAACAUUGUCUUAUUCUUA